UACGAAGGGGGCUAGCGUUGUUCGGAAUUACUGGGCGUAAAGCGCGCGUAGGCGGACCUGCAAGUCGGGGGUGAAAGCCCGAGGCUCAACCUCGGAAACUGCCUUCGAUACUGCGGGUCUCGAGUCCGGGAGAGGUGAGUGGAAUUCCUAGUGUAGAGGUGAAAUUCGUAGAUAUUAGGAAGAACACCAGUGGCGAAGGCGGCUCAGCUGGCCCGGUACUGACGCUGAGGCGCGAAAGCGUGGGGAGCAAACAGGAUUGAGAUACC
rnacentral:rRNA from 1 species